rnacentral:rRNA from 1 species
UACGUAGGGUGCAAGCGUUGUCCGGAAUUAUUGGGCGUAAAGAGCUCGUAGGCGGUCUGUCGCGUCUGCUGUGAAAACCUAGGGCUUAACUCUGGGCGUGCAGUGGGUACGGGCAGGCUAGGAGUGCGGGUAGGGGAGAUUGGAAUUCCUGGUGUAGCGGUGGAAUGCGCAGAUAUCAGGAGGAACACCGGUGGCGAAGGCGGGUCUCUGGGCCGAUACUGACACUGAGGAGCGAAAGCGUGGGGAGCGAACAGG